rnacentral:lncRNA from 1 species
GUGAUGAAAACACCAAAGUGUUUCCUUUAUCUGCAUUUGCACCUGCACCUCCUACAUCACUUUCCUCUCUUUCACCAUUUUUUCCCUUGGUUUUUUAAUCAGGUAAAAGUUCUUCGUGUAAUAGGUGUGUAUUCAAUUUUCAUUCACUUUUCCCUAGAUUUUCACUAUAUAUCUUCCCCUUUCCUAGAGGCGGAUCCAGAUUAGUAGGUUCGUAGAUGUAGGUUUACUUGAAUUGGGAUUGUGAACCCAGUUACUUUGUAGUUGAUGUCAAUAUAACAACUUAUUAACUCCAAAUUCUGGAUUCGCCUAUGUCCUUUCCCCUUUUCUCAUGUAAUGGAAAAGAAAAUACCAAUAAACAAAAAGAAAAAGAGGCUCCAUUAUGAUUCAAAGGAGGUGCAGGUUCAAGUGCAGGUGAAUGAUAUUUUGGAAAAACUGAGACUAUUGAUGCUCUUUUAUAUGGUAGGUUGUUUAGUUUCAGGCAGCAGCCAAAAGAUUGGACAUUCAUUGUAGCUUAUUGGAGAUAUGAAGCAAAGGUAAGAAAUUCCUUAUUUCUUGAAUAACCUAAGCAUCUUAUUUGUAAAUUUCAUCAAGAUGUAUGUAUUAAAGUGCAGUGGACAGUUUUUGGAUGCAAUUUCUCUGAUUUUCUUUCCUUUUUUUUCGAAGAUUCAGACUAAAGUCUAAAGGCUUUAGAAGACGUCCAAACCCUAAGCUCCUUUUAUGUUUUAUUCAUAAAUGCAUAUUUUUCACAAAAAAAUUGUAACUUGAUGAAAAGGAUCUAUAAAUUGAUGGCAUCUUCAAGUCUAAUUCGAUCUAUUAGCAAUAGAUUAUUUGUUUCCAUUUUGUUUUUUAGGUAAUGCCUGAUAUCUCCUUGUUAUCUACCAAAAGAAGUAAAACAAAAACAAAACGAUUUUUGCUUGCUCUAAAUUCACCCACACGGCCACACCAACAAUUUUAACUUUUUAAUUGAUCGCGUUUUCCCUUCUCAUUGUUUAUUGAUUUUAAAGCUACUUCAUUGGCAUUACGAUAUUGUGAGUGAUAUAUAAAAUAACUUUAUUUAAUCUAAAAGGUUGGUUUAGUGUUCUAUUCGCUUUAAUUAGUGAAGGGCCGGCGUAUCCAUCAAAGAUGGCAGAAGUAAAGACGGAAACAGAAAUGAGCAGGUAACUUAUAUUUUCUUUUCACCAUUAAUUAUAAAUUAAAAUGAAAUUCUGAGUGCGAUGGAGAUUUAAUUUUCUUGUUCAUAUAAUAAUAUCAUGGGUAUAUAUUUUAGUGGUAACUAACGAAUUACACAGUUUAAUCAUUAAAGUUUAAAGAUGAGAGUUCACUAAGUACGAAUGGAGGCAUAGUCAUAAAGUCAAUUCCAAUUAGUUUGGGAUUGACGAUUGUUGGCAGAACUACAAUAGUUACUAUUAGCGAAUCUUUUUUUUUUCACGCAAUACAGCUGGCAUUUCCUUGGCAACUCCCAGAUUUUACUAGUGCGUGUUGUUAUGAAUUUAGAAUUUUGAGUUUAUAAAUUUUACAAAAGAGAUUUUGGUUAUAUUUUUUACUUAUAUAUUUAAUGGAUUUCUAACAUAAAAUAUAAAGUUUCAGUCAAAACUAUUGAAUUUUAUCGAAGUUAUAACUAUAACUCUAAUUAUAAAGGAAAGGGCAUGUGAUGUAUUUGCUAUAAUUUGUUCUAUACCCGCUUAUAAUUUACUGAAUUUCAGAAUCUUUUAUAAUUUUAGGGUGAUUUACCAUAAGGAUAUAUAAGGAAUUGCUAAUAAGUAACUCAAUUUCCUGUUUGUCAUAAUCCAGAGACCACCAUUCUCGUGUCAAUGCACUAUCUUCUUGAGCAUUAUUUUAUUUAACUAAGUAUUAUAUAUGAACAACUCUCCUUGUGAAGUCUUGAAGGAGUAAUAUGAACAACCAACUGUGUGAGCUCAUAAACCUAAUAAUAUUAUUACUAGAUUAAAUGAUAAAUCAUGUAUUAGAGUAGACAGUGUAGCAUGAUUGUCUUUCUAGUUUUAUACUAUAAAAAUAUUCAGAUAGCCCAUGUUUGCUAGUUUUUUUUGUUUUUAUUCCGAAUUAGUUAGUUUAUGUAUUGACUUAUACCUUAACUUAAUUUGGUAGAACUUUAUACCAAGUUCAAGGUGGCAUAACUACAUCAUGAUUAGUUAUAUUUGGCUAAAAUAUUUGAAAUGCCCAUUGUUUUUCUUCUCUAUCCCUUCAAAUAAACAAACCACAACCUGAAAAGACAAUUGUUAUUGAUUUAUGACUUGCUAUAUUAAUUUUUAAGAGAACAAUCCAAAUAUUUAACUAGAAAAAGUUUCUGCAUUAAUACUUAUAUUAUUAAUUCUUGCAACCAAAUAAACCAUCUCUAAUCUUUGAGAUUUCUUCUCUCUCUCACACACAAGGACUUUGAUAAAAGCUGCGAAAAGCACAGUGAGACCCCAAUAUAAGUUUUAUAUGAUCUGUAAUUUCUGUAUGUGUGUAUAUUAUUUAGCAUCUCUUCUUAACACUGACAAACAAUAUAACUUGGAUUUGUGAUGAAACUGACAAUCAUUGUAUGCUUUUCUUAUUCCUUUUCUUUUAUUGUGGGUAUCUGCAUAACUGGUAAGUACUCCAUUUUGAUUAUAUAUUUAGUCAUAACUUAUAAAUAAUUCUCACAUUGCUUGUGAAUGCCAUGACUCAUGGCCCAUGCAUGACUACUGUUUCCGAUUGAAGACUCCUUUCAGUUUCUAUAAUAUAAAUGCAAUUAUAUAUGGAACAUAAAGUUAUGGCUUUCUGGUAGGAGUUUAAACUCAACUCUGCUUUCUUUAAUCCUAUGAUAUUGGCAUGUUAAUGUUACACUUCUCUAUUCACUUGCUAUUCAUUCGUCGAUGACAUAUCACUAAAUUCAAAAAAAGUAUUUAACGUUUCUUUAUUCAAUCUUUUGAAACCCCCUCACCCUCCCUCUUGUGGUGUCAGGGUUAAUAAUCCUCUUAAAAUAUGUUCUUUUAUUAGGAUGAGUUAACAAAAUGUUCACGCAAACACCUUUUUCUACAAGCAUACUGUUUUUUUAGUUUUUCGUCCGAAUAUUUGAUACCUGCUUUGGGGCCUGAUUAAUCUGAAUUUGCACGAAGAAGUCUCACUUCCUAUCUGUAAAGUUAGUCCUAUUUGUUUAAGUUUUUUUGGAUUUUUUGGGCAAAAUACACAUUUGGCCGCUUGGCCAAAAAUAAUUACAUUUGCUAGUUGCAAAUACAACAAAUAUUUAUAAAAUACAAAUAUUAUAUGUAUAUUAUAUAUUAAGAUAUAAAGAAUAUAUAUAUAUAUAUAUGCCGACUAUUAUUUUUGGAGCAGUUAUACUAUGUUAUCAAGUUAAGCAAGAUCAGCAGUGGAAAUCCCUAGAUUGGGAGAAGAAAAGGGAGAGAACAAGAGCGCACAUGCAAGUUCUACAUAUGGAACUUUCCCUCCUCCCCUUUGGCAAUAUUGAAUUCAAUUUGUAACAUAUUAUCUUCCGUAGUAUGGUGUUGAGUGUCGGGUAUCCCAUGAAAGUGCUUUGAAGUAUAAAGUCUCAGUCAUUCUUUCCAAAAUAUUUCUGCUUUCUGGUCAAUAAUAGUUAAAAUCAAACUUCCCAAGGAAGUAUAUUUCGAGCUUUAAAUGGAAGAGACUCUUCGUAUAGAAGAGUAUUGGAUUGAUUUCUGUUCCUCAUUUUAUCUCCAAAUUAUGCUCUCCAAUAGUUGUUUAUUAAAAGAGUUAAUCGAGAGCUUUCAACUUUUGGUAGUAUCCUUUAUAUAAAAGCCAUAGCAUUUCUGGUCGUACAGAUACUUUUGUCUUCCAUUUUAGAUCAUACUGAAAUAAGAAGCUAAAUCUAGUUGAUGAUAUGCUCUUAAGUUUAUAAAUUUGUGAAGGUAAAAUAGGACUUUAUCA